CGAUGCAGUUACUCCUACAGUGAUAACAGUGGGUAUCCUAGGCCAUGUGAUGCUGAUUGUGACCAUACUGCUUGUGCGUAAUCGGAGGAGAUCCACGACUAAGACUGUUGCUGCAGACAUAGAAGAAGACGUCUCCGAACAUUCCUAUGACUACAUAGAUAACACAUUCUUUGAUAUGCAAGUCAAUGGAGCUGAUGCCGUACCUGUUGACGGAGAUUACAACACACUUGACAUCCGCUGCUCGCAUCCCAUUGGGACAUCCACUGACGCGCCAGGGAGCGCUGACCAACAGGAAGUCGUCACUGCGCCUGUGUUGGAACGAAGUUUAGACAGCUUCUCCAAUGGAAUUACAGUUGUGGAACUGACGAGGCCAUGUGUUCAUAUCCACUAUUUCAAUACACCACCCAGUUCAACAGAGAGUUUAAUCGAUUGAAAUGUGUUAGACAGAGUGUAAAUGUGAAAGCAACUUACGGCUUUCAUUAUUUUACUUUUAAAGUUCCCAAUUGAUUUAAAAAUCAGUGAUAUCACGGAUAACAGCGCCGAACAUACUGCGGACAAUAUCAGCCAACUGUGACCACAAAAAAUACAAGGACCUACCCUUGAAUGGCUGAGGGAAUUUCAGCCCAAAUGUCACUGAACUCUAUUGCUUAUAAUAUGUGCAAUAACAUGAAUUUAAUAUCUUUUAAAUGUAGUUAUUUUCUUGGAGGCUUAAAUAAUCUUGCUAUGUUUUAGCUGUCUUAUGAAUGUCCGUAGUUUGACAAGGAUGAUACGUGUAUCGUUGGUCUUCAUACGUGUUUGUACCUUAUAUAAGUUAAGCCAAUCGCCGUAAAUUCCGUAAUAUUCUGCUUUGACACUGACAUUAUAAUGCGAUCAUCACAGAUUGUACCACUAUCUGCUCCCCAAAACUCGCACUUUGCAAUAGCAUUGAUCAGAAAAAUGGAAACAGGUUUUAUCUCGUGUUACCCGCCUGGCUGCAGUUGCUUGUUUAAGAAACCCACUUUUUUCUGAAACACAGAAGACUACACACCACCUGUAAAACUGUGAUUAGACGGAUAUUGUAUGGAAACUACCCACCCGACUUAAUUACACCAGUGUGUCAGUAUACCAGGCGCUUUGCUUUUCGGUUUUAAUAUUAUAUUCUUCCAGUAUAAAAUAAAGCUGCCUGUUGAACUGUUUUCAAUUUCUAACGAAUAUUUAAUGUUUCCCCUAUCGAAUCCUCAGUAUAUGGAUAUGAGGUGUUGUUAGCAAGGAGGAGCAAGUAUAGCCCUUUCGAGAUACACCUUUCUCCUACUCGACAAAAACAUGUGUGGUCUGUACAAAAGGUGUAAUUUUUUACCUAACGCUUUGUUAAAAACAAAAGAUGGCGUCAAUUACUGUCAUGCAGGGAAACACAAUACAAGUUUUUAAAGAAUCACACACGCACAUUAUAAAUAUACUGUAAAUUGUUUUUUUUGCACAUACUAACAUUGUAAAUACUUUCAAGUCAUUUGUAUUAAUGUAAAACCCGAAUAUAGUCUUAAUGAAAUUAUUCUUUGUAUAA